UAGGGAAUCUUCGGCAAUGGACGGAAGUCUGACCGAGCAACGCCGCGUGAGUGAAGAAGGUUUUCGGAUCGUAAAGCUCUGUUGUAAGAGAAGAACGAGUGUGAGAGUGGAAAGUUCACACUGUGACGGUAUCUUACCAGAAAGGGACGGCUAACUACGUGCCAGCAGCCGCGGUAAUACGUAGGUCCCGAGCGUUGUCCGGAUUUAUUGGGCGUAAAGCGAGCGCAGGCGGUUAGAUAAGUCUGAAGUUAAAGGCUGUGGCUUAACCAUAGUAGGCUUUGGAAACUGUUUAACUUGAGUGCAAGAGGGGAGAGUGGAAUUCCAUGUGUAGCGGUGAAAUGCGUAGAUAUAUGGAGGAACACCGGUGGCGAAAGCGGCUCUCUGGCUUGUAACUGACGCUGAGGCUCGAAAGCGUGGGGAGCAAACAGGAUUAGAUACCCUGGUAGUCCACGCUGUAAACGAUGAGUGCUAGGUGUUAGACCCUUUCCGGGGUUUAGUGCCGUAGCUAACGCAUUAAGCACUCCGCCUGGGGAGUAUGACCGCAAGGUU
rnacentral:rRNA from 1 species